rnacentral:rRNA from 1 species
AUGGCAAUAGUGCACCGGUGGCGUAAACCGGAUUAUUUUAUCACGAUGACAUGCAACCCAUAUUGGGAGGAGAUAACCGAUAAGUUGUUGCCUGGACAACUGCCGCAGGACCGUCCAGACCUGGUGGCAAGAGUAUACAAGGCUAAACAGCGAGAUAUGAUGGACUUACUAACUAAGGGUUAGCAUUUCAGAGAAGUCGUAGCCUAUGUACAUGUAACUGAGUUCCAGAAGCGAGGUCUCCCGCAUGAGCAUAUACUUCUAAUCAUGAAAGCAAAAAGCAAGUUAUCAACACCAGAUGACUAUGAUCGAGUGAUAUGUGCAGAGAUACCGGACAAAGAGAAACACCAUGUUCUACAUGAACUGGUCGUCAAACACAUGCUGCAUGGACCAUGUGGCGAGUUGAAAAAAAGGUUGCCCUUGCAUGAUUGA